UACGUAGGGUGCGAGCGUUGUCCGGAAUUAUUGGGCGUAAAGAGCUCGUAGGCGGUCUGUUGCGUCAGGAGUGAAAACUCGGGGCUUAACCCCGAGCCUGCUUCUGAUACGGGCAGACUAGAGGUAUGCAGGGGAGAACGGAAUUCCUGGUGUAGCGGUGAAAUGCGCAGAUAUCAGGAGGAACACCGGUGGCGAAGGCGGUUCUCUGGGCAUUACCUGACGCUGAGGAGCGAAAGUGUGGGGAGCGAACAGG
rnacentral:rRNA from 1 species